UCUCCAGCUGUGACCUCCAACAGCAAAAUGAAACUUCUGUGUCUGCACUUGGUCCAGGAGAUGUUACUUCUCAUAUAGCUGUGUACACUGUUUAUCCCAGUGGGUUCCAAGAGCUGUACCGCCAUUUUCUGAGGCUCCCUAGUGGUGUCAUUGUUGAGGUGUUUGGUGAUAUCAGUGGCUUAAAGUUUAUCCCCGGUGAAGUGGUCACGGCUAUUCAGGAGCAUCUGAGUGAAAUGGACAGUACACUGGAAGACUCCUUAGAUAUUAAAUCAAGAGGAUUGAAAAGAAUCCAUUAAAAUAAAAAGGUCCACAGUGGUGCACAAGUCAUGGUGAGAAGACUAAGUUCAACUUCCUUUUCAAUCUACGGCCUUAUAAUAUGUACUUUACCAGAAGUCAAUAACCAGUAUUGGAAACAACAGCUGGACGUCAUGAUUGUCCCAAAUAUGUUUUCAGAGAACAUAGACUCCUGUUCAUCUUCAUUAGCUUAGAAAGAGCUACUUGGCUCCUGUGGAGUAUGAAGAGAAAUAGAAUAUCAUUUUUCACACUCUCCUACAGCAGUACUCUUUCCUUUGGAGGGAAUAAGGGGAAUGGCUAGAAGAUGAUAUAACCAAGCCUAAAUAAAUCCCCUUUCCCCUUCACUUAGCAUAAAAUUUCACAUUUAUUUCUAGAAGAAAUUUCAAGGAAAAAAAAAUGGAAAAAUUACAUAACAAUAAAAAAAAUCAAGUCACUUAAAUUAGUUGUUUUACAGCACAAAUACUUUGUAUUCUAAGAUAUCAACAAACAGCCCCAAACUGGCUGGCUCAGAUUUGGGCUCCUCUCAUCCACCUCAGCUCUUUCUAAAAGGACCAAAGUAGCAAAGCCCCCUUGCCAGUUCUUUAGAUUAUUCCUUUUUUUUUUUUUUUUUUUAAUGUCUGAAACAUUUAUAUUAACAUAGAUUAUUCCUUUUUGUCUUUACUCCCUUGCUUUCCUUUUUUCGACUGAAAGUUUGGAAUAGGACUUAGGAUCACAAGCGGACAAUGAACUGUCAGAGGGUUGAUGGGUUAUAAAAAAAUCCUGCAUCUUUAAGAAUCGUUUGUCCUCAUUAUAGAGCAAUAAAUACAGAGGAUAUCUAGGCCCUCUGAUCUUCCUCUGCGUUUGUAAGUAAGGGUGAGCAGGUGUUUUGUCACCUCUCUCAAACAAAAAGCAGUGUUUAUUAGAGACGUCAAAUUUGAUACCUAUAACUGGGAAACAUAAACACAUCCCAUCCUGGUGAUUUUUCAAUCCUCAUCUUUAAUUAUUGUCUAACUAUAAGGAUAUCUUCAGUUUUACAUAAGACAUUUACAUUGAGUUACACUAGAUGUUCCCUCUAUUGGCAGAAAUUAGCAUAUGCAUAUACUGUCUAUAUUUUUCAUCCUCUAUAGCUCUUAUUGAAGGCAGAUCAACAUAUAUUAACAUCUCUGACAAAAGAUCUCAACUUCACAGGAACUAGUGAACAUUCUAAAUAUGUUUUAAUGGCUUAAAUUAUUGCACCUGCAUACCUCAGGAAACUAUAGACUCUUCCUUCAAAAUGAUAUGUGACUGUCAGUGUCAAUGACUUCUUGCCUUCCUCACCUCCACACUUGCAAGCAUAAUUACUCAUAGCUCUGGUCAUCAGGUACUCACCUCCACUUUCACCGAAUAGCUUUCUAUUCUAACUACAUGCUUUGCCUUCCCCGUUGGAGCAUGAAUUACCUGUGUGGAGAAUUUUUCAAAUGUAUCUUCCUAUUAACAGAGCUUAGAACGAUUCUUGGCCCUAUGCAGGGGCCCAAUAAACAUUUUCUGUUGGGAAGAUGGUGUGAAGGAGAGGUGGCGGAAGGGAUUAGGGCCAGGUGUUAUCAUUUAUAGUAUAAAUAAGAAGCCCAUCCCUCCCCCUGAAAAAGUGGGGCUGGAUACAGUAAAGUAAGUUCUAUGAUAGACCUGUAUCAAUACAAAAUAUACUGAGAAGGAUAAAUGUAUACAUAUAAGUAGAUUUCUGCCUCUUAGACUGUAUUUCAUUAGAUUAUUAGGUCAAGUUGAUAAAGCAAAUGUAGUUGAACAAGUGAUCUGGUAAGUUUUUCACUGAACCAUCAUUUGCUUAACUGAAUUAAUAAAAAUACCUAUUGAUUUUAUAGGUCUGUCACUUUUUUUUUUUUUGGCUGCACCACGCGGCAUGAAGGAUCUUCCUUCCCCCACCAGGGAUCGAACUCGCUCACACUCCUUGCAGUGGAAGCACAGAGUCCUAACCACUGGACAGCCAGGGAAUUCCCCUGUCACUUUUAUUGUUUAUGCUUUUCUCACUAAAAUGUAAGCUCUUCGAGGGCAGGGAUCACUGUCUGCUUUAAUUAGUCGUACCUGUCCCAGUCCUCAAUACUGUUCUUUGAACU